UAUUUGAUAUGUUUUUAUAACUAUGUUGAACAUUUUCUGCAAUUAUUCUGGCCCUGUCUUACACAAGUGUUUGUUUGUGUAACCUUUGAAUUUGUUGACCAAAGCUUCUUUUGCAGACCUGUGACCUGUGCUUGCAGCUUCCUCAAUAGACCCUGGUGAUCUAUUACAGAAUGCUUGAUCUACCAUGGCAACGAGAGCGUCGUACCUCCGGCAGGAAAUCCUCCUAGAAGCGUAUGAAGAAGUCAAGGACCAAAUAAAAAUACAAGGGUAACACCACCACGGUAAUAAAACAAAGAGAAAAGCAUUGUAAAGUAUUGCAGACCACCUGAAUACGUAAGUAGGACACAAAUACACACUCCUCUGAAACCAUCAUAAUUACAGUCUACAUAGUUACUAAUGAGGCCAUUGAAAUUGCAGGUGAAACUGAUGCAGAUGUGAGAGAAAUGAUGUAAAUGUGUUUGUCUGGUUAUUAAAACAGUAUCAGGUGUCUGUAUCUCCUUCCCUGGCCACAGAAAUCUUUGCCACACCAAAGAGGAGUUUAUAGGGUUGCAGAUGGUCUGCAAAGCUGACUGGCUAAUCAGUAUUGGCAAAGUGAUCUGGCUCGGUCCAGGACUCCUGAGUCUUUCAAACUUCUGGCAUCUGGCACCUCUAAUAAUAAUCACUUUUAACAUUAUGGCUGGGUCUAUUUAUGAGGUUGUGAUGAUGAUAUUCACAGGUGAAUGUCUUGCUAGUGGAUAGAGGGUGUCUACCAGCCUUUUCUCCUGACACUGUCUGCAG